rnacentral:rRNA from 1 species
UACGAAGGGCCCGAGCGUUGUUCGGAAUCACUGGGCGUAAAGGGAGCGUAGGCGGCGUGGUAAGUCAGAUGUGAAAUCCCGGGGCUCAACCCCGGAACUGCAUCCGAUACUGCCGUGCUUGAGGGUUGGAGAGGUAGCUGGAAUUCUCGGUGUAGCAGUGAAAUGCGUGGAUAUCGAGAGGAACACUCGUGGCGAAGGCGAGCUACUGGACAACAUCUGACGCUGAGGCUCGAAGGCCAGGGGAGCAAAAGGG